rnacentral:rRNA from 1 species
CGGGUGAGUAACGCGUGAGGAACCUGCCUCAAAGAGGGGGACAACAGUUGGAAACGACUGCUAAUACCGCAUAAGCCCACGGCUCGGCAUCGAGCAGAGGGAAAAGGAGCAAUCCGCUUUGAGAUGGCCUCGCGUCCGAUUAGCUAGUUGGUGAGGUAACGGCCCACCAAGGCGACGAUCGGUAGCCGGACUGGGAGGUUGAACGGCCACAUUGGGACUGAGACAUGGCCCAG